rnacentral:lncRNA from 1 species
GACUGGUGAGGGAGAAUCUCGAAAGCUCUGAAAAUAUUUAUGAAAAUCAAAAGGCCCUCGCCCGGGAAUUUUUUGAUAUCCAAAUAAUGGAGCUCUAAAAAGCAGCUUGCAAGCAAGGACAGACCCAUUCAAGGACAAGAGGGGUCACAUGACCCUAUGAGAUGGCCGAAAAUGUGGCUGUGGACAGCCUGUGGAGGUCUGAG